AUUGAACGCUAGCGGGAUGCCUUACACAUGCAAGUCGAACGGAGUGGCGAACGGGUGAGUAAUGUAUCGGAACGUGCCCAGUAGCGGGGGCUAACUACGCGCACGCGUAGCUAAUACCGCAUACUAUUGGCGCGGCCGAUAUCGGAUUGGCUGGUUGGUGGGGUAACGGCGCACCAAGGCGACGAUCCGUAGCUGGUUUGAGAGGCCGACCAGCCCAACGGGGACUGGGAAACGGCCCAGACUCCUACGGGAGGCAGCAGUGGGGAAGUUUGGAAAAGGGGGGAAACCCUGAUCAAGCCAUCCCGCGUGGGCGAGGAAGGCCUUCGGGUUGUAAAGCACUGUUGGCAGGAAAGCGGUACCUGCAGAAUAAGCACCGGAUAACUACGUGCCAGCAGCCGCGGUAAUAC
rnacentral:rRNA from 1 species